CUCAAGUUCUCGUCUUUCUUCGCGAUGCUGAGACCUGGGUUUUUGUUUUUGUUGUUGGUUUUUUUUUUUAAUUCCACUGAAGAGUUUUCUAGAGUUUUCACCGAGGGGUGAGAAAUCCAGAGUUCUGUCCAGUCUUCUCCAGCUCACCACCCUACUUUAGGAACUCAUAACCUGAUGAUAGACGCAGUUACAGUAACAAAGAAGCUUGCAAAGGAAACAGUGGAAAGGGGCAAGUCCUUACAGAGUGUAAAGGGGAUUAUGGACUUAACGGCUUAAAUGUAUUCAUCAUCACAACAGAGAGUAAGUGUAUUUAACCCAGCUGGCCAAGGAAUUAAUUUCUUCUGCUUAACAUCAUUUUUCUGCUCUUCCUUCUUCUCUGAUGUGAUUGCCAGGCCAUUAGUCAAAAGUAGAAAAAAAUCAUAGAAGUCCAGUUUGCAGUAUAAGACAAUUUCAGAAUUAUUGAUUUCCAAGUGUUCUGUUGACUCUCUAGGUCAGCAUUAUGAUUUAGUUUUUCUCAUUAUGGUAGAAACAGACCUGGUCUCUACAAAUCAACAGAAGCAGCAUCUCAGAAACCACACCUGAGACCCAAAGGACGCUAAAUGGCUUAGUGAAGGAAACCGGGGUAUGCCAUUUAGGACGCUGAUGGAUCUGUAACGUGUCUGUGGGAAGAGAGUGUCCAAGAUGGGAGGAGGAGAGCGAGAAGUUUGCCACAGCAGCUGUAAACAAAAAGAACAAAGAGUCUCCCUCAUUACUCAGUUCCAAAAAGCGUUAAGUUGCAACUCACUGCAGCUGCCCACAGUGUGCACUCAGGGGAAUUCAGGAUGAAGAAUAGGAUGAAGUAUUCUUGUUUUGAAUAUAUGGCCCCAAAGCAGUUAAAUGCGUAUUUAAGAAAGAAAUUCAGUGAUGCCAGAUUCUUGCAUAGGAAAGCACUAAAAUAAUUUUUGAGAUUCUCUGUUUGUCAUUAGCAGUAAUCUUUUUACCAAGAUAUAUGUUUAACUGCAAGUAUUUCUGAGGCAAAAAAUUCAUAUAGGCUCCUUCCCUGCAUCCCUACUUCUUUGCAGCAGUCCCCUCAGAGUUACUUACAUGCUGUUUCCUGGACUAUAGUUCCCAGUAAGGUCCAUGAAUAAAACUCAACUCACAGCUUCUACAUUGUUUUCCUUCCGGUCAACAGUUUUGGUGACCACGGAGUGUCCCACAGCUGACUGCUCUCCUUUGCCUAAACUCGGCAAGGAUCCAAACACUUGCUACCAGCCAGGCCCCUUGUCCCUGUCCAUCUCCUGAAUGAGCCCAGAUGAUACGGUCCCAGCUGCACGAGAAAUGGAAUAUUUCCUGCCACAUCUGUAAACAAGGAUGUCACCGUCAUCAGCGACUGGAGCCCUCCACUGUGAGCUGGUGAGCCCUCAGAGAACUCAGCAAGGAGAAGAACACCUGUGAUCUAGCAGCCAUCAACUACAGCCACUCCCUAUGGUGAGCCUUGAGGAAAGGAAGCCCAGAAUGGGAAAAACGCAGGAUCCUGGCCCCAGAGACCCGAGGUGCAAUCAAAGAAAUGAUUUCAGUUGCGUGUACAUUUUCAGUCGGCACUCAGGAUCUUCAGUUGCGGCGUAUGGAAUCCAGUUCCCCGACCAGGGAUUGAACUCGGGCCUCCAGCCACUGGACCACCAGGGAAGUGCCCUAAAUGAAUUUCUUUUGAUCUCUAGCAAACUUUGGGAUGCUUCGGAGGGCUUCUGAAACAUCUCAAAGAGAGAUACUAAGCUAAUGAGGCUUAUGUAGUGUGUUAAACUACAUGGGAAACAUUGUCACUGAUGAUAAGGCUUCUUAGGUUUUAUCAUGUGGGUAUAUGUUACUAAUACAAAAUUACUAAAAUUCGGAUAUAUCCUAGUAUAUUAUCAAUCAUAAAUCGAAUUCUUGUCUUAAUAUACUAUGUGUCACAGACAUAACCAAAUUCCCUUGUCAGUUGUAAUUAGAUCUUUAACCAUCCCGUUUUCAGUCUUUUGUCGUUUAUAUAGACAGUUAUUAGUUUGCUCUGAUGCUUUUACAAAACUGAGGAUCUUCAGAAAGAUUCAUAGAAAGGACUUUUUGACAAUAUAGGCUUCUGGUAACUUUCUUUUUUUUUUUUUGGCUGUGCUGAGUCCUCAUUGCUGCUCGGGCUUUCCUCUGGCUGCGGCAAGUGGAGGCUGCUCUUCAUGAGGGCACGGGCUUUGCGCUGCGGCGGCUUCUCUUCUUGGGAAAAACAGGCUGUAGCGCGUGUGGGCUUCAGUAGUCGCAGCUCCCAGGCACCAGAGCACAGACUCAGUAUUGUGGCGCAUGGGCUUAAUUGCUCCGCGGCGUGGACCAGAUCUGGGAUCACACCCGUGUCUCCUGCGUUGGCAGAUGGAUUCUUCACCACUGAGCCAGCCACCAGGGAAGCCUGGUUUCUGGUAACUUUGAGAUCAUACUACUGAACUGAGUAAGAAAUACCAAAACUCAAAUGGAAAACCCCAUGGCUUUGUAAAACUACUAACAAAACAAUCUAAAUCAACAAGAAUUAAUUGCAUGGGGCUGGAUGACCUGAUAAAUAAAAUUUAUAAUUUUAUGACUUUUUCU